GGAAGGGUCGCCUAGAGGCCUAGGGCGGUCGUCUCGAAAACGACUAGGGUGCAAGCUCUCGUGGGUUCGAAUCCCACCCCUUCCG
rnacentral:tRNA from 1 species